rnacentral:lncRNA from 1 species
CAGAAACCUGAGGAUUCAUCUUUUCCAACUGCUCUGAUUGCCUUUCGCUGAUGAUGGAAGAAGGAAGGAAGGAAGUAGCCAUCAGGGACCCCCGUCUCAGUGCAGUAUUCUGUCAGCAGCCUCUCAGCGAUGUGCCACCCAUCGCGCUCUGCUCCCAGCUUACCAUGGAACCAAUCCUGUGUGAGAUGCAGCUCGAUGUUGGUGCUCACCUCCUUCUAUACAGUGCUGUACUGAACUGACUUAACGCUUGAAGCACUCCAACAGACUCUGCUGCCUCUCCCU